rnacentral:rRNA from 1 species
UACAGGGGGGGCAAGCGUUGUCCGGAAUUACUGGGCGUACAGCGCGCGCAGGCGGUUGAACACGUGCCGUGUGACAGACGUCGGCUUAACCGACGUAGGCCAGGGUACACGGUUCGACUGGAGGCAGAGAGAGGGAUGUGGAAUACCCGGUGGAGCGGUGAAAUGCGUAGAUAUCUGGAGGAACACCGGUGGCGAAGGCGGCAUCCUGGACCAAUAUUGACGCUGAGGAGCGAAAGCUAGGGGAGCAAACGGG